UAUCAAAUUGUUAUUUUUUUUGGUACUCACCAAACAGAUUAAAACUUUAUCAGCUCCAAAAAAAUAUGUGCGUCCACUUCGGUAAUAAUUUUCACAUUUCCUGAAUUUUCUUACUUAAAACAAUGACGGAGAGAGAAAUGAAGUAAAGCAAAGAUUCUUUAAACAAGUUAUUGAGCGUUAAAAAUACUCAGUUUUCGAUGCACGCACAAUUUCAUUUUUCACUUAUUGCUUACUAUGACUUUUUGGAUACCGUUAUGUUUAUAUGUAGCCAAAUUUUUUCAAACAAAGUUCUAUUU